rnacentral:rRNA from 1 species
CCUACGGGUGGCAGCAGUGAGGAAUAUUGGUCAAUGGGCGAGAGCCUGAACCAGCCAAGUCGCGUGAGGGAGUACUGCCCUAUGGGUUGUAAACCUCUUUUGUCGGGGAGCAAAAGCCGGACGUGUCCGGCUGUGAGAGUACCCGAAGAAAAAGCAUCGGCUAACUCCGUGCCAGCAGCCGCGGUAAUACGGAGGAGGCGAGCGUUAUCCGGAUUUAUGGGGUUUAAAGGGUGCGCAGGCGGACUGUUAAGUCAGCGGUAAAAUCGUGGGGCUCAACCCCAUCGAGCCGUUGAAACUGGGGAUCUUGAGUGUGCGAGAGGUAUGCGGAAUGCGUGGUGUAGCGGUGAAAUGCAUAGAUAGCACGCAGAACCCCGAUUGCGAAGGCAGCAUACCGGUGCACAACUGACGCUCAGGCACGAAAGCGUGGGUAUCGAACAGGAUUAGAUACCCUGGUAGUC